rnacentral:rRNA from 1 species
AUGGAUCGGCGGCAAGCUUUGAGGCCGGCGGCGAGCUCGUCCAUGGCGGGGGAGGGGCGGGGUCAGCGGGGGCUCGGUCGUCGGGCGGGGAGAGGAGGGGUUCUUCUGCGUCUCACGUGGGGCGGCGCGAGGUGGGACAUGCGGGAAGGACAAAGAAGAACAGGAGCCAGAUCAAACGGCUCAUAUGACGCACAUCCGACGGUUAGGUGCGGACCGGCCGAAACUUUUCGGCCGGUGCGCCGGCGCCUAGCAGCCGCCAUAGGGAAACGUAUGUGCCGGCGGACUGGCCGAAGCUUCGGCCGGUCGCUCGCGUACCGCACGAUCGCCCAGCGAUCUAUGGCUAACACGUCUACAGAUUCAUUGUUUGCGUUGUCGGAUUUUCCUCCUCGGCCCACCACAUGCUCUUGGCCCAUCACGGCUGCUUUUUUUCUCUCAUCCUCCAAUGCGUCGUCCUCGAGGAGCUUACCCCAAGUGGCGGCCGCAUGCUGGAACCAGCGUCCCGGCGUACUGGAACCAUCAUUUUUUUUCCUACAUCCAUUCACGACGGAGCUACGACCGCGACGACGAAGACGCCCUUUUGCUGCAAACGUCGUCAGUUUUUGUUACAAUCGGAGAGAAAAUUUGCUACGUCCAUUCAUGGCAGAGAUGCGACCUGAGACGGCGGCGAGGAUGAUUUUUGCUGGACCCGUAAUUGUUUUUUGCUACUACCGGCGAGGUUGUUUUGCUACAUCCAUUCAUGGCGGCGAUGCAACCAGGGACGGCGGCGACGAGGAUUUUUGCUGCACCCGCAAUUGCUUUUUGCUACUACCGGCGAUGUUUUUUGCUACAUCCAUUCAUGGCGGAUAUGCGACCAGGGACGGUGGCGAUGACGGUUUUUGUUGCGCCCGUAAUUGUUUUUUGCUACUACCGGAGAGGUUUUUUGCUACGUCCAUUCAUGGCAAAGAUUUGACCCGGGACGAGGGACGAUGA